rnacentral:rRNA from 1 species
GAUGAACGCUGGCGGCGUGCCUAAUACAUGCAAGUCGAGCGAACAGACGAGGAGCUUGCUCCUCUGACGUUAGCGGCGGACGGGUGAGUAACACGUGGAUAACCUACCUAUAAGACUGGGAUAACUUCGGGAAACCGGAGCUAAUACCGGAUAAUAUAUUGAACCGCAUGGUUCAAUAGUGAAAGACGGUUUUGCUGUCACUUAUAGAUGGAUCCGCGCCGCAUUAGCUAGUUGGUAAGGUAACGGCUUACCAAGGCAACGAUGCGUAGCCGACCUGAGAGGGUGAUCGGCCACACUGGAACUGAGACACGGUACAGACUCCUACGGGAGGCAGCAGUAGGGAAUCUUACGCAAUGGGCGAAAGCCUGACGGAGCAACGCCGCGUGAGUGAUGAAGGUCUUCGGAUCGUAAAACUCUGUUAUUAGGGAAGAACAAAUGUGUAAGUAACUAUGCACGUCUUGACGGUACCUAAUCAGAAAGCCACGGCUAACUACGCG